rnacentral:rRNA from 1 species
UACGGAGGAGGCAAGCGUUAUCCGGAAUUAUUGGGCGUAAAGCGUCCGUAGAUGGUUUUGUCAGUCUGCUGUCAAAGCACAGGGCUUAACCCUGUAAAGGCAGUGGAAACUACAAGACUAGAGUGCAGUAGGGGCAGAGGGAAUUCCCAGUGUAGCGGUGAAAUGCGUAGAUAUCAGGAGGAACACCGGUGGUGUAAACGGCUUUCUGGACCAUAACUGACGCUGAGGCACGAAAGCGUGGGUAGCAAACAGG